UACGUAGGUGGCGAGCGUUGUCCGGAUUUACUGGGCGUAAAGAGCGCGCAGGCGGUCGUUCAAGUCGCGUGUGAAAGCCCCCGGCUCAACUGGGGAGGGUCACGCGAUACUGAUCGACUCGAAGGCAGGAGAGGGAAGUGGAAUUCCCGGUGUAGUGGUGAAAUUCGUAGAUAUCGGGAGGAACACCAGUGGCGAAGGCGGCGAUCUGGGAAGAUACUGACGCUGAGGUGCGAAAGCGUGGGGAGCAAACAGG
rnacentral:rRNA from 1 species